UACAGAGGUGGCAAGCGUUGUUCGGAAUUACUGGGCGUAAAGGGCGCGUAGGCGGCCUUCUAAGUCAGACGUGAAAUCCCUCGGCUCAACCGGGGAACUGCGUCUGAGACUGGAAGGCUUGAAUCCGGGAGAGGGAUGUGGAAUUCCAGGUGUAGCGGUGAAAUGCGUAGAUAUCUGGAGGAACACCGGUGGCGAAGGCGGCAUCCUGGACCGGUAUUGACGCUGAGGCGCGAAAGCCAGGGGAGCAAACGGG
rnacentral:rRNA from 1 species